UUGAACGCUGGCGGCAGGCCUAACACAUGCAAGUCGAGCGGUAGAGAGGUGCUUGCAUCUCUUGAGAGCGGCGGACGGGUGAGUAAUGCCUAGGAAUCUGCCUGGUGGUGGGGGAUAACGUUCGGAAACGGACGCUAAUACCGCAUACGUCCUACGGGAGAAAGCGGGGGAUCUUCGGACCUCGCGCCAUUAGAUGAGCCUAAGUCGGAUUAGCUAGUUGGUGAGGUAAUGGCUCACCAAGGCGACGAUCCGUAACUGGUCUGAGAGGAUGAUCAGUCACACUGGAACUGAGACACGGUCCAGACUCCUACGGGAGGCAGCAGUGGGGAAUUUUGGACAAUGGGCGCAAGCCUGAUCCAGCCAUUCCGCGUGCAGGAUGAAGGCCCUCGGGUUGUAAACUGCUUUUGUACGGAACGAAACGGUGAGCUCUAAUACAGUUUGCUAAUGACGGUACCGUAAGAAUAAGCACCGGCUAACUACGUG
rnacentral:rRNA from 1 species